GUAUUUGAUUUAAGUCCACUUCUUAGGGCAGACGAAAAAAGACGUUCUGAAUUAAAAGGAGUGUGUAAAAGGGACAGGGCUCGACUACGCGAGAGGCUUGCGCCUCCCAUCGCCUCCCCCUGCAAAUGUUCACAAGUGUGUGUGUGUUUCGAUCAGGGCGUGCACAUGCCUCUCUCAAGGCCAGCAGCAACCCCUCUCUGAAAGAAUUCAAUAAUGAUCCUUCCGCAGGUUCACCUACGGAAA
rnacentral:misc_RNA from 1 species